rnacentral:misc_RNA from 1 species
UUUAUGUUUACAUAUUUAGUGAUUUGAUGGUUUCUGAUGGCGUGGACGGUGGUAAUUUAAAGAUUAGAUAGUUAAUAUUAAAUUAGUAUUUUUGUGUGUCAAAUACAAUCCUCCAAAGAUGAUGCAAUUCAUGUUAUUGUUCAGCCGUCAAGGAAAAUUACGGCUACAAAAAUGGUAUGUAGCACACCCAGAUAAAUUGAAGAAAAAAAUCACGAGGGAAUUGAUCACAACUAUCCUUGCUAGAAAGCCUAAAAUGUCGAGUUUUCUUGAGUGGAAAGAUGUGAAAGUUGUCUACAAAAGAUAUGCUAGUUUAUAUUUCUGUUGUGCCAUAGAACAAAAUGAUAAUGAGCUACUAACGUUGGAAAUUAUUCAUAGAUAUGUAGAAUUAUUAGACAAAUACUUUGGAAGUGUUUGCGAGCUGGAUAUUAUAUUUAACUUUGAAAAGGCGUACUUUAUACUGGAUGAGCUUCUAGUUGGUGGAGAAAUACAAGAAACAAGUAAGAAAAAUGUUUUAAAGGCCAUCGCAGCACAGGAUUUACUGCAGGAGGAUGAAGCUGUUGAAGGUGCUCUACGGGAAAUAGGGCUUUUGUAAGCGCAUCUACUGUUGUGUGUCCCUCCUACAUCACCAAACUGAACAUCGAGAUCACCAACUUGCCAACCAAAUCAUCUGCCUGACGAUGCCAUCGCCCAUCUCAACUUAUUUCGUAUUAAAAUUUGAAAAAAAAAAAACAAAAACUGAAAUUCCAUUAGAAUACAAACUACCUGCCAAAAUAUGUGCAUUUUUUGCAUUUUAAUUGCAUUGUCUGCGUAUAAAAAUCGUCAUAUUUUUGUAUAAACUUUAUGUUUAAGAAAUGAUAGAAAUAUAUAAGUAUAUUUUGCCACUAAAACUAGUUAAUUAAGAUUGAACGAUAGACUAAUAUGUAUAUUGUGAUAAAAGCGAUCAAUUACCAACCAUGUGGCUAUAGUUAUAGGAUUUAAUAUAUUGAUGGCAAUAAAAAUCAUAUAACUUUAAUAAAUAAAACAUAUAGGAAAAUAUUCUAGUUAUUCUUUUAAUACUAACUAUUUUUUAAGCUUGUAUCCAAACACUUUUUUGCACUUUUUUGUAUUUAUUAAGUGUUGUAAUUAUUUCAAUUAAUAUAACUGAUUAAUGAGUCAUAUGAAAGGGAUUUUGAUCAUCAUUUGAAGCUGCCAGAAGAUUUUAUUUACGAAUUAGGAAGAAACUCCUCAGGGAUUUUUUGAAGAUCAUGGGCUUGGAUAAUCAAUACUUUAAAAAUAUUCUACAUCCCACGACCAAUUACCUGUUGGAGAGGUUGUUCCAUCACACUCAUCUCUUAUUACUUUUUAUUUAAUAAAAUACCUAGGUACUUAAUAAAUUCUUCAUUUUUUAAAGCAUAUGAAUUUUAUAAAAGUAAGCUUUUUGAAAUUCAAAUUAGUUCCCAGUUAUAAAGAUACUAUGUUCAUUAUAAUUAAGUAAAUAAUGUAGGAAAUAUUUUUACGUAUUGAUGAUAUUAAUUAGAUUAAAACCCGUGAGUAAGCUGUGUGGUACUUAAUAGACUCUUUAUGAAUUAUUAAUACUUUAAAGUUGAUCUUUUUUUUUGUUAAUGUUCUUAUGAUAAUAAAAUUAUAUAAUCUGUACUUAAUUAAUGAUAAAAAAAUAUGCGAAAACAAUAAUUAAUUAAAUAUUAAGUAACUUAUUAAAGAAUGGAUAUAAUCUAUUUAUUGUGAAAUUUGUGAAUUCUGGUAAGAUCAAAAUGUAUUAAAAUAUAAAAAAAAAACAUGGUUUAUGCUCCGUCCACAACGUAAUGUAUGAUAAUACAUAAUAAUAUGAAUAAAAUUCUCUGUAGAAGUA